GCCUUCGUGAUGUAGUGAUCAGCAUGCUUGGCGCGUAUUCAAGAGGUCCGAGGUUCGAAUCCCGACGAAGGCA
rnacentral:tRNA from 1 species